ensembl:lncRNA
AUUUAUUCUUUAGGCCAACAUUUUAUCGCAGUUUAGGGUGGGAACCAUGAUACAAUGUAAUUUUAAGCUUAGCUUUUAAAUGUAUCUUCAUAAUUCAAAAUAGGUCUUAUUGUUCUGAUAAAUGUGAUAGGCCUCGCAAUGAGGCCAUUAAAACGCACACGUUAACAGCGAGGGCGAGAAGGUGACAUUGUUGCUGAUACCUUGUAACUGGAGAUUCCUUCAAAACGAUUGCCUAUAGUUACCGUGUAGGGCACUGCAAGGUUGGGUGACCAGGGCCAUCUGGAACUGCCUCCUGGAGGAAUUCAGACAUGUGAAGGCUACCUGUGUCCUAUAUAACUUCAUGAGGAUGGACAAGAGGACCAGUUGGGGAUCUGCAGCUCGAAACCAUGUGCCAGAGGAGAAGUCUGCUGCUCAGCAGGAUGUUUCAAGGAUGGGGUCCAACAAUGCAGAGCGAGAGGGUGCUGUUCCCUGGCAACACCAUAGACUACAUUACACUGAUUUCUACUUCUCAGGUUAGGGUGCUGUUUAGGCUCAGGUGUAUAACUGUGGCUCCUUCCAACUUCAAACAGUAGGCAAGAGGGCCAACCAUGGAGAAUAGUAAGACACUUCAUUAUUUCUUUAACUCCGCUAUAUUGUUUGUCCUCGUGUGUCUGCAUGUUUUUCAGCAUAAAGUAUUAUGCAGCCACUUACUGUGGACACACACACAGAUUCCUGUUGAUCACUGUCUCUACCUAACUUCUUUUCUCAAUAACAGUCUCUCUCCUUCACUUCAUCCCUAUCUCCCCUUCUCCCUAAACCCUAUAAGUUAUAUCAGCUGUGUGUAACUUGGCUAGUUAAAUCAAAAAUAAAAAUAUUAGCUGUGUCGGUGAACCCCUCCCGCAUCUGAACUGGCAACAUAGAGGGCACAGCGUGAUCAGAGGUGAGGUCACUUGGUCGGGUUAACAGGAAGUAUUAUUAGAGAUGCUUUACAUUGAAAUAUAAGUAGAGAUGCAGUAGUCCCAGAGUUAAUGAUCCAAGGUCAGUUUUGCAUUUCACCUGAUGAUUAUGAUGACUUACAGUGUUAGAAUACUUUUUUUUAAAGCAUGGCUUAAACAUGCUAUCUCUCUCCAUCUGUCUCUCGUCUGCAGGUAUGUUUUGAUGUGAGAGAGGAUGCCAAUCGCCAGUCCCGUCAUUGCCACCUCACCCACUCUUAAGAUAACCUUUGGGCCGACUGGGAGCCCAAGGCUGGUUAGGAGACACAACUAGAGAAACUAUUUUGUAAUUGUGAUGAACUGAGAUAAUAUUAGGGUAACACUGUGAUUCAUUAAUCAUAUGCUGUCUUCCCUGCUCUGUUCUUACCUCUUUCCCUUUCUUUUUAUCUCUCUCAUCGCCACCUCUUUCUUCCUGUUUUUAUAAUGCAC